rnacentral:rRNA from 1 species
UCCCCCCUCCAAUCAGUGAAACUGAUCUCCCCGUGAAGAAGCGGGGAUACAAAUAUAAGACGAGAAGACCCCAUGGAGCUUUAAACCCAACAGCACCCGUUUAUUUUCAUCCUCACAUAAGUUAGGUUAUGCCUGUUUGGUUUUAGGUUGGGGUGACCACGGAGUAUAAAACAACCUCCAUGAAAAAAGGACCAAAAAUCCUUAUUAGAGAAAGACAUUUCUAAAAUUAAUAAAUUAAUUUUUAAUGAUCCGAUAUUCGAUCAACGAACCAAGUUACCCUGGGGAUAACAGCGCAAUCCACUUCAAGAGCUCCUAUCGACAAGUGGGUUUACGACCUCGAUGUUGGAUCAGGGUAUCCUAGUGGUGCAGCAGCUACUAACGGUUCGUUUGUUCAACGAUUAAAACCCU